AACCUCGAUUCCUCUCUUAUAAUGAACCCCAACAUCUUACCGGAUCGCACUCUGAAUGUGCACUUAUUCAAUUCAACCUCAGUUUGAAUCAUUUCAACUGGUCAAACGACUUGGCCAGGUCUACCAAAUGCCCCUCUUCUGUUUGGGACUUUGCUAUCAUGUCAUAGCAUAGCAUUCAACUUCAUGAUGAAUCAUAUCAUGAAACAAAGUCACCAUGGCUCUCUGAUACAGGCAUUGGCGUUCU
rnacentral:lncRNA from 1 species